AAUACAUGCAAGUCGAACGCACUCUCGUUUAGAUUGAAGGAGGCUUGCUCCUGAUUGAUAAACAUUUGAGUGAGUGGCGGACGGGUGAGUAACACGUGGGUAACCUGCCCUAAAGUGGGGAUAACAUUUGGAAACAGAUGCUAAUACCGCAUAAAACCUAACACCGCAUGGUGUAGGGUUGAAAGAUGGUUUCGGCUAUCACUUUAGGAUGGACCCGCGGUGCAUUAGUUAGUUGGUGAGGUAAAGGCUCACCAAGACCGUGAUGCAUAGCCGACCUGAGAGGGUAAUCGGCCACACUGGGACUGAGACACGGCCCAGACUCCUACGGGAGGCAGCAGUAGGGAAUCUUCCACAAUGGACGGAAGUCUGAUGGAGCAACGCCGCGUGAGUGAAGAAGGUUUUCGGAUCGUAAAACUCUGUUGUUGGAGAAGAAUGUAUCUGAUAGUAACUGAUCAGGUAGUGACGGUAUCCAACCAGAAAGCCACGGCUAACUACGUG
rnacentral:rRNA from 1 species